rnacentral:rRNA from 1 species
CUCCAGUUGGACGCAUGUCCUUCUGGGAAAGAUUCAUCGGUAUGGGAUGGGGUCGCGUCCUAUCAGCUUGAUGGCGGGGUAACGGCCCACCAUGGCUUCGACGGGUAGCCGGCCUGAGAGGGCGACCGGCCACAUUGGGACUGAGAUACGGCCCAGACUCCUACGGGAGGCAGCAGUGGGGAAUAUUGCACAAUGGGCGCAAGCCUGAUGCAGCGACGCCGCGUGCGGGAUGACGGCCUUCGGGUUGUAAACCGCUUUUGACUGGGAGCAAGCCCUUCGGGGUGAGUGUACCUUUCGAAUAAGCACCGGCUAACUACGUGCCAGCAGCCGCGGUAAUACGUAGGGUGCAAGCGUUAUCCGGAAUUAUUGGGCGUAAAGGGCUCGUAGGCGGUUCGUCGCGUCCGGUGUGAAAGUCCAUCGCUUAACGGUGGAUCCGCGCCGGGUACGGGCGGG